rnacentral:tRNA from 7 species
GGGCCGCUAGCUCAGCUGGUAGAGCGACAGACUCUUAAUCUGUUGGUCAAAGGUUCGAUCCCUUUGCGGCUCA